GAUCCGUUUCCCACAGAAACAAUCGCAGACUCAACAGUGAUAUCAGAAACAAGCACAGAAUCAACAACAACACCAGAUUGGCUUAUAACAAGCUCUG